UAUAUACUCCCUCCGUCCGAAAAAGCUUGUCCCAAGCUUAUCCCUCAAAUGGAUGUAUCUAGCACUAACUUGGUGCUAGAUACAUCCAUUUGAGGGACAAGCUUUUUUUCGGAUGGAGGGAGUAUAUA
rfam:Triticum aestivum genome assembly, contig: Triticum_aestivum_CS42_TGACv1_scaffold_515087_6BS